rnacentral:rRNA from 1 species
GAUAGAACGUUGGCGGCGUGCCUAAUACAUGCAAGUCGAACGAAGACUGUAGUAAUACUGUCUUAGUGGCGGAACGGGUGAAGUAACGUAUCGGAACGUAUCCUGUAAUGGGGGAUAACCAGUCGAAAGAUUGGGUAAUACCGCAUACGCACGAGAGUGGAAAGUAGGGGAUCGCAAGACCUUACGUUAUAGGAGCGGCCGAUAUCUGAUUAGCUAGUUGGUGGGGUAAAGGCCUACCAAGGCGACGAUCAGUAGCUGGUCUGAGAGGACGACCAGCCACACUGGGACUGAGACACGGCCCAGACUCCUACGGGAGGCAGCAGUGGGGAAUUUUGGACAAUGGGCGAAAGCCUGAUCCAGCCAUGCCGCGUGCAGGAAGAAGGCCUUCGGGUUGUAAACUGCUUUAGUCUAGGAAAAAGGGGUGCGAGGUUAAUACCCUCGUGCUUUGAUGGUACUGGAAGAAUAAGCACCGGCUAACUACGUG